UCCAUUGUGUUUGAUGUGUGUAUCUUC
rnacentral:piRNA from 1 species